CUACGGGAGGCUGCAGUGGGGAAUAUUGCACAAUGGAGGAAACUCUGAUGCAGCAACGCCGCGUGGAGGAUGACACUUUUCGGAGCGUAAACUCCUUUUAUAUAGGAAGAAGAUGACGGUACUAUAUGAAUAAGCGCCGGCUAACUCCGUGCCAGCAGCCGCGGUAAUACGGAGGGCGCAAGCGUUACUCGGAAUCACUGGGCGUAAAGAGCGUGUAGGCGGAUUAAAAAGUCAGAAGUGAAAUCCUAUAGCUUAACUAUAGAACUGCUUCUGAAACUCUUAAUCUAGAAUAUGGGAGAGGUAGAUGGAAUUUCUGGUGUAGGGGUAAAAUCCGUAGAGAUCAGAAGGAAUACCGAUUGCGAAGGCGAUCUACUAGAACAUUAUUGACGCUGAGACGCGAAAGCGCGGGGAGCAAACAGGAUUAGAUACCCCAGUACUC
rnacentral:rRNA from 1 species